ACAUAUGGGCAAUGAGUAAGCUAGGCUUUAAAAUCAAGAUCAUUGAUUAAAUAAUAUCAAGUAAAGUACAUUCACAGAUAUUUGGAGCUAAUUUAGCGGUAAAAUUCAAUUUGUUUAAGAUCAAAUAACCAGAGGUGAAAAAGUGAAGAUUUUAGGUUUUAGAAUCGGACUAAAAGCUAAGUGUAUCUCACUGAUGUUAAGAGCAGAGACUAAGGACAAUGGGGCGCCAAUAGCAUUAAGCCAAAUGUAUACAUAAUGUGAUUGUAUCCAAUUCAUUUAAAAUAUAAAUCAUGCACAUAAUUGUGAAGACCAAGAGCUAGACUGAAUGGCUCAAGACGAUGUUCAACAGGCCAAAAAGGUUCUCUCUCGAGAAUCCUAUCCUGUCCCGGACAACGCAAAAAUGAGAUACCAAGAAAAUUGAGCAUUUAAAUUUGAUAUAUUGUAAAUAAACUUAUUAUAUUUUCCUCUAUUGGUUUUUAUAACAAUUUUCACCUUUCAUUUUCAAUCUUCUAAGUCAUUAACUACAUUCCUCAAUCAUAAUAUUUCAUGCUUAUAUAAUUUAAUAGAACUGAAUGAAUAUAAAAUGUAUUUUAUUCAUCUAAUUGAAUAAAAUUUUUGAGUUGAAUCGCAUUUCCCAAGUUAUAAUAUUGGAAGCACCUAUAACAAGAUUAAGAAUUGUCAUGUCAUUGGAAGGAUGAUAUUGAGUAACCUAUAAUUUUUAGUUUAGAAUAAUGAAUCCAUCUGUUUAACGUAAUAGAAUGAAUUAAUCAAUCUAAAUCCCUAAGUACUAGGGAUUUCAUUCAAAUAAGUACAUUCCUUCAAAUUCAUUUCACUAAAAUGAACAAAUCCUGAGGAAUCUU